GACGAACGCUGGCGGCGCGCUUAACACAUGCAAGUCGAACGGAAAGGCCUGCUUUCCCUUGUGGAUUGCGGGUACUCGAGUGGCGAACGGGUGAGUAACACGGGAGUGAUCUGCCCCCAACUUGGGUAUAAGCCUGGGAAACUGGGUCUAAUUCCCGAUAGGACUGCAGGGUGGUGCCUGUGGUGGAAAACGAUUUUCUAGUGGUUGGGGAUGAGCUCGCGGCCUAUCAGCUUGUUGGUGGGGUAAUGGCCUACCAAGGCGGCGACGGGUAGCCGGCCUGGGAGGGUGGACGGCCACAUUGGGACUGAGAUACGGCCCAGACUCCUACGGGAGGCAGCAGUGGGGAAUAUUGCACAAUGGGCGGAAGCCUGAUGCAGCGACGCCGCGUGGGGGAUGACGGCCUUCGGGUUGUAAACUCCUUUCGACCGCGAGGAAGCCACCUGGUUGGAAGGGUGGUGACGGUAGUGGUAGAAGAAGCACCGGCUAACUACGUG
rnacentral:rRNA from 1 species